UACGAAGGGGACUAGCGUUGUUCGGAAUUACUGGGCGUAAAGCGCACGUAGGCGGAUUUGCCAGUCAGGGGUGAAAUCCCGGGGCUCAACCUCGGAACUGCCUUUGAUACUGCAAAUCUCGAGUCCGGUAGAGGUGGGUGGAAUUCCUAGUGUAGAGGUGAAAUUCUAAGAUAUUGAAAGGACCACCAACUGGCGAAGGCGACUAUCUGGUUUAUAACUGACGUUGAGGCACGAAAGCAUGGGGAGCAAACAGG
rnacentral:rRNA from 1 species